rnacentral:rRNA from 1 species
UCCUACGGGGCGCAGCAGUGAGGAAUAUUGGUCAAUGGCCGCAGGGCUGAACCAGCCAAGUCGUGUGAGGGAUGACGGUCCUAUGGAUUGUAAACCUCUUUUGUCAGGGAGCAAAGGGCGCCACGUGUGGCGCUUUGCGAGUACCUGAAGAAAAAGCAUCGGCUAACUCCGUGCCAGCAGCCGCGGUAAUACGGAGGAUGCGAGCGUUAUCCGGAUUUAUUGGGUUUAAAGGGUGCGCAGGCGGAAUGUCAAGUCAGCGGUACACUUUCGGGGCUCAACCCCGUCAUGCCGUUGAAACUGGCGUU